rnacentral:ncRNA from 2 species
GUGCCUGACCCUCGUGAUUUGAGCGGCCGGCUUGCGGCGAGGCUAAAGAACUGCGCUAAAGAGGCCCUGCGUCGUUAUCG